AUGUCUUGGUCUCGCGCAUGCGCAGAAGCCUGGCCCCGGCGAAGGCCCUUCUCUGACCGCAAGCCGCGACAGGAUUUCACAGUCUCGCGACAACUGUUGGCUCUCGGGCACGCUCGGGAACCUGGAUCCGGCGAUCCUCCCGCCCCCGUGGCACUUCCGGUGCGUCACGGCUCCAUAAGAGCGCGUGCGCGGCGAGUUUCGCCCUUUUGCGUCAGGCGUCGUCUCGGGUGCUGUGCCUGCAUUGUCCUGGUCGCCCAGCUCGUAACUGGCCACAGCUCGAGCCGAGACCUCAAGAAAUCCAGUGACGAUGCAUCCUUGGUAUGAUUGAAUAAAAUGGCUCACAUGACUACUCGCUGUUACUUGAUUGAAUUGAAUUAACAGUGAAGAGAAUACUUUGUUUACUGUGCAGAGAUUGGGUAUAGCAUUUGAGGGAAAUUUGUACAUAAACAUUAUCAGAUUACCCCCAAGAGAGAGGUUAGCGUCUUGUAUCACACAAAAAGAUUUAGGCAACUGUACAUGUUUUGUGCUUUAUUUACUGAAUACCCAAACUUUUAAAAAAAUUCCCCUUAGGGGCUGGAGUUGUGGCUAGUCUCUCCUAAGAAAAAAUCAGCAUGGGUUCUACUUCAGAAUUGGGCAAACUGCAGGCCAUGUGUUCACUGCUCUAAAUUUAUGGUUUCCUUGUCUGUUUAAAACUUAUUGCACCAUCAUUGUAGGUUACAAAGGGAAUGUGGUUAAAAAGGUUCACUACAGGAGUGGGUUACUUUCUCAGCUGUAAUGCACAUUGUCCUAAACCUUUGUGCAAGGUGUGCCAGGUAUAGUUAAUCACAUAAGAGAUAUCCCUGAAGAAAGGUCCUGGAGAGAGGGGAAUCUUAAGCAGUGGGAUUCUUGGCAUAUCAGAAUGUGCCAGUCAUUUCACCAUGGCAACCAUUUAAGAGGAUUAUUCUAAACUAGGAGUGUAGGCAAAGAUUUGGUGUUAAUAAGAAUGUCCUGUAAGGACAUUACAUCUGUCUUACCUUC
rnacentral:lncRNA from 1 species